CAGUAGCCACGGUAAUACGAAGGGGGCUAGCGUUGUUCGGAUUUACUGGGCGUAAAGGGUGCGUAGGCGGAUUGUUAAGUCAGGGGUGAAAUCCCGAGGCUCAACCCCGGAACUGCCUUUGAUACUGGAAGUCUUGAGUAUGGUAGAGGUGAGUGGAAUUCCGAGUGUAGAGGUGAAAUUCGUAGAUAUUCGGAGGAACACCAGUGGCGAAGGCGGCUCACUGGACCAUUACUGACGCUGAGGUGCGAAAGCGUGGGGAGCAAACAGGAUUAGAUACCCGGGUAGUCCCUGUCUCUUAUAC
rnacentral:rRNA from 1 species